AUGUUCUGGGAAAUUCUUCAAUGCCUUCUUGGCUCUGUUCAGAUUGUUUAUAUACGUAGAAGUUGAGACACAGACAGUUACAAACCAGGCAGUUCAAAGAUCUAUUUAUCAGUACUAUAACCACCACCACUUUGAGAUCAUAUAUACACGGUUUUGGAUUUGAUUUAAUCUAAGCAAAAAGCUUUACUUAGAGAUAUUCAAAUACAAACACUUGGAAAGCAAAAAUGCAGUGUCUUAUUGCAUUAGCGACAGGAACACUGACAAA